rnacentral:rRNA from 1 species
UACAUGGGGUGCAAACGUUGCUCGGAAUUAUUGGGCGUAAAGCGCACGUAGGCGGCUUUGCACGUCGGAUGUGAAAUCCCUCGGCUUAACCAAGGAAGUGCAUCCGAAACUGCAGAGCUUGAGUACUUAAGAGGAUCGCGGAAUUCCCGGUGUAGAGGUGAAAUUCGUAGAUAUCGGGAGGAACACCAGUGGCGAAGGCGGCGAUCUGGGAAGAUACUGACGCUGAGGUGCGAAAGCGUGGGGAGCAAACAGG